AUGAUGACAUCAAACGCGCUGUUAAUCCAAUCCUCUUCUGGGUGAUGGGUGUGCUUUUGUUUGGCUUCCAACACCAACUAUACCUAAUGACUCGGUGGCCGCCUGGUUAUCAUCAUCUCCGUGCACUGGAUUCUGCUAAUUAUUGCUCGCUCUGGACCGGCUGCAAAUGGUGUUCGAUUAUCUGAACGACACGAUGAACGUCAAUGUACUCUCUUAACAGGAGCAUGGGAAUGUUCCGCACCCUGGCCAUCAUCUACAAGGAAAAUGGCAUCAUGAAGGGCCUGUACCGGGGCAUGUCGAUCAACUACCUGCGUGCAAUUCCGAUGGUGGCCGUCUCCUUCAGCACGUACGAACUGAUGAAGCAGACGCUCAACCUGGACACGGGCAUGAAAGUCUGAACGACGGCUGCUGCUGCUGCUACUCGAAUUUGCGCGACCGAUCGAGUGAGAGAAAGUGCCGGGAAGUGCGUGCGUGCGUGAGUGAUCGCGAGAUGCUGAGGAUGGGGGAGAACGAGUGCUGUUUUAACCUACUACUACUGCGGGACCUACUUGGGUAAAAGGGGGAAUAAUGGAAGGGCAAGGAAGUUCUUCGGGAACUGGGGCUAGGGAAGCGCGAGUGCAAUCACAAUGCAAGAAGAGAAAGUGCAUUUUUAUGUGAGCAGGAUUGUCAUCACUUUCUGUCUGUGAAUAGGUGGACUUUGUGUUUCCCUGUGUUUGUCCUGUUUUGUCCUUUUGUUCUUCGCUAUUACCUGCCAGUGUAUUUAUUCUUAAUUCCGUUCGUUCUCUUUCGUAAUCCCUUGUGUAAUGUAGAUGUUUAGAAUAAUUUUCAGGAAUUUGGAAGUUUCAGUUCCGAUAGUUUUUUUUUAAGAAAGCAAAAGAACAAGGGUGGUGUAGGAUCAAUUUGGAUAGUAAAAGUGUAAAAGUACUUAAAAAUAUGAGUUUAGUCAGUUAAAUUAGAGACAAUAAUUGGCAUCGAAAAAUAAUUCUUCAGGCUUUAUCAUUGGGGAUAAAGUUUACUCAUGGAAGAACGUCACCGGGACCACUUGGUAUCAUGCAUCACCGAAAAUCCGUGACAUUUCUGUUUACUCAGUAUAGGGUUUCAUUACUGAUUUGAAAGCAAAGCAAUUUUUUUUUAAUUUUACGAAACUGCAUAUAUUAGGAAGAUUGUAUUUUUUGUUUUAUCAUAGUCAAUUACGGAUUUCUCUUUUUUACUGCUCAAAACAACAGACAAAUACAGCGCCAACAAAGACACACAGAUUUGUAAAUAGUCGUUUGUAGAUGGGUGGAAAUCCCGGUAAAUAAAGAAGGCUACUGAUUAUUUUGUUACGUG